rnacentral:RNase_P_RNA from 1 species
GCGGUCUGCCGCUGCCAUGCGUCAUGCAUGGGGGAGGAAAGUCCGGGCAACAUAGGGUACCAUACUUCUUAACGGGAAGGCGGCGUGAGCCGUAAAAGCAGGUAACAGAGAAUAACCGCUUCCGGGGACGAGUUCCUCUCUAUAGGAGCAAGGGUGAAAAGGUGGGGUAAGAGCCUACCGAGACACUGGUGACAGUGUCUGCCGUACCGCUUAUGGGUUGCAAGAUCAUGUAUACCGGCGCUGUAGGACGACCCGUCCGAUGCCGAGGGGUAGAUUGCUGGAGGGCUGCGGCAACGCAGUUCGUAGAUAAAUGGCAGACAGCGCAUUUGCGCUACAGAACCCGGCUUAUAGCACUACUG